ACCAGCAGCCUGAAAUCGAGCUCUAAAUCCCUUCGCUGGCUAGUUUCUUCUCCAUUCUUUCCAUCUUGCGCCAAAACCAGAGGUUUAAGCUUUCGGCCUACUCGCUCGUUUCGAAUUCGAUAAUCUUGCUCGGCAGAAUUUUAUUCAAUAGUUUUGCAGCAAUAAACCAGCUCUCAAGAUUUGCUCUAUGUUUCCUGUCCAGAAUUUGGGAUCUUCUUUGUGUUCUUUCUUUCUUCUCUUUUCAUUUGCAUAAUUUUGAAUUGGUGCUCUUUAGAAUGCACUUUCAGGUUUGGUUUUCUUGGAUUAGGCUGUAACGAAGAGGUUGGUUUGAUGAUCCAAAUUUGAGUUUGUGACAUCGAUUUAUUUGCCUUCUUAUAGUGUUAUGAAUGAAACGUGACUCCUGGUCUA